CGUAGGUGACCUGCGGAAGGAUCAUUACUGAGA
rnacentral:rRNA from 1 species